AGGGAAAAGUAACGGAGCUCAGGGCCUGUGCUGUGAAGGUUUGCUUUUAUAAACCUACAGAAAAUAUAAAGACAGUUUUAAAAAGAUCUGCUCAUCAGCGAAUUCUGAAAAAUAAAAUAUGUGAUGGAAGAAAAAUUAAGGAAUAAGUUAAAGCAGUCAUGAAGGUCCAGAAGGGAUGGAGCUGCAUUGUGUUCUUUCUACUCCACAUGACACAUGUUGGCUGGACACAGAGGUUUCAAGUUGUUGGACCUUCUUCCUCUGUUCUUGUUCAUGUUGGUGAAGAUGUCACCCUACCAGCCUCACUCUCACCAGUUAUCAGUGCUCAGAGGUUUGAAGUCAGGUGGUUUCGAGAUGAUUUCACCUCUCCAGUACUUUUAUACCAGAAUCUCCAAAUCAGACCUGAGCGUCAGAUGCAGGCCUAUAAGGGAAGGGCAGCACUUUUCACAGAAGAGCUCAAGAAUGGAAACGUAUCUCUGAGACUCCAGGAUGUCCGUGUUUCUGAUGGUGGCCUCUACAAAUGUUUUGUGGACUCUGGACCAUGGAAUGAAGAAGUUCACAUCACUCUGAAUGUUGAAGGUGAUUUUAUUCUUUUCUCUUGUUACUCCAUGUCCCCUCUAGUGGUGGUGACAUGGUUCAGUAAUGUACCAAAGCCAUUUAGCAUUUCUAAUUUUACUAUUCUUGAGACUUUGAUAAUCCACAGACACAUUAUUGUUCUGUUGUACUGAUGGCCCUCUAGCCUGUUGUCAAAUUUCCUGAUUUAAUAUUUCAGCCACUGUUGUUACAUUGGCGUAAACUCCUUGGUGUUAACCCCGAGAUUGGGGUCUUAUUUCUAUGUAAAUAUGGUUAAACUCACGUC